rnacentral:rRNA from 1 species
GAUGAACGCUGGCGGCGUGCCUAAUACAUGCAAGUCGAGCGAACAGAUAAGGAGCUUGCUCCUUUGACGUUAGCGGCGGACGGGUGAGUAACACGUGGGUAACCUACCUAUAAGACUGGAAUAACUCCGGGAAACCGGGGCUAAUGCCGGAUAACAUGUUGAACCGCAUGGUUCUACAGUGAAAGGCGGCUUUGCUGUCACUUAUAGAUGGACCCGCGCCGUAGUAGCUAGUUGGUGAGGUAACGGCUCACCAAGGCAACGAUACGUAGCCGACCUGAGAGGGUGAUCGGCCACACUGGAACUGAGACACGGUCCAGACUCCUACGGGAGGCAGCAGUAGGGAAUCUUCCGCAAUGGGCGAAAGCCUGACGGAGCAACGCCGCGUGAGUGAUGAAGGUCUUCGGAUCGUAAAACUCUGUUAUUAGGGAAGAACAAAUGCGUAAGUAACUGUGCGCGUCUUGACGGUACCUAAUCAGAAAGCCACGGCUAACUACGUG